GACCUGAGGUCGUCCUCAUAUGGUACAAACGUCCUCGGCAGUUUCAGGACGUCCUCAUUUGGUCCUCUAGUCGACACUUGCAGGAUUAUCCCCAAAAUGCCCCUUUGAGACCUUUUUAAGGACGAAGAAUUGUCCUGAUAUCGUCUGCUCGAGGACGUUUUGAGGAUAUGCAUGUUUCGUAGGUGCAUGCAGCUUUCGCAAUUCGUGUUUGGUUAAUUUUCUGGCUGUUAACGAAUAAGUCCACGGGAUUUCGUAUGCCUACUUUCGAGUCAUAAUAGUAAAGUACUUCUCGAUCAUUAAAAUGAGAUAGUUACACGAGGAAGCACUUCAAGCCAACACGAGAAAGACGUGUUCUUUUAUUUAUUAUUUAUUUAUUUACUUUGUAAGUGAUCGUAGGCCAAACUUUCUGCCUGCACGUUUUCGUUGGUCGUGAUCUACCGCCGACGUGCAUACGGAAUUAUAUCGCACUGACUGUGGUCUGACCCGUUUCCCCAAUGAACGCACGUGCGGCAGACCAAGUUUGGUGCGAGUAUAAACGGUGUCGGCUCCAAAAUGAAUGCAGGCGUGAAAACUGUGAAUAGCGAGCACGUUAUUCUCGAGUGUCCAGUGUUGCAAUGCCGCACGGUCCCAUCGAGCAGACGACAACUGACCAUGCUGACGACUGGGCUGGCCUAGGUUAUCGUGAAUAGAGCAGCAUUGGAACUAGAACGCUGUGGGAAAACGAAUGGGCGACUGAAGUUGUGGUGGUGCUAACAAAAAAAAAGCAGUACCUUAAUGCGGUCACCAUGCGCAGUCAAGGUGCUUUUAAAUCUGGAUGUCUACGACACUGUUUACCCAUUUUAAAGUGACGCAACUAUCAUCAUCAUCAUUAUGGGCCUGCAGUAAGUCAAGUCGAGUCAUUGGUCGAGUCAACAUUCCAAUACAACACUUCUCGCCAUAGAGGAAGCUUCUCGCAGAAGCCCUCAAAGAAUCGUAAGCAUGCCAGAUACAGCAGCUUGCUGGCCUUGGUGGCUCAACUUUUGGGGCAGCAGCCAGGAGGAUGCUGGAGCUUCUGCUAAGCCUUGAGGUUGCUGUGCAGUUCAGCUGGGCAGGCCAAAAAGGCAAAAGGAAGUUUGUGGAUCUAGGUGUCACAGAUGUCAUUUGCAAGGCCGUGAGGCGAAAUUUUCCGGAAACAAAAAAAAAUGACAUCGAGUGUGUGAUUAAAGUGUGGCUUCGGCAUGCUGGGGAAAAGCUCCAGAAGCAGCGCUUAAGAACUUCUCGCACUCACCAUGAGGAAUGUCUUCAAAGUGUCGCGUUGUCAAGCCCAUCGGAUGAAGACCUCUGAAGGCACAGGGCAAGAAGUCUCAUCUAGUGAAAACUGCCAAGUUUCAUUCCUGAAAAUAAACAUGUUUUCUGUGCA